AGGAGUUGGUAUGAGAUUUUUCUUCCCAUUAACUUCACUGUUACUGAAUUUCUCCAUGGAAGGUAGAUUCUUUCUUUUUCAAGAUCUGAUAGUUGUAUUGACUUUUUACCAUAUGGGAGUUGUGGAGCCGGAGUAAAAGUUAGGGUAUUGUAAGAUUGGUUGAGUUCUUGAGGCCGAUCAGUUAAGAUGUCCUUGAAGGAGAGCUUGUGGACGGUAGUGUCUUCCAUGGUGGUGUCGUCAUUGAGAGG
rnacentral:lncRNA from 1 species